rnacentral:rRNA from 1 species
CAGUAGCCGCGGUAAUACAGAGGGUGCGAGCGUAAAUCGGAUUUACUGGGCGUAAAGCGUGCGUAGGCGGCUUCUUAAGUCGGAUGUGAAAUCCCUGAGCUUAACUUAGGAAUUGCAUUCGAUACUGGGAAGCUAGAGUAUGGGAGAGGAUGGUAGAAUUCCAGGUGUAGCGGUGAAAUGCGUAGAGAUCUGGAGGAAUACCGAUGGCGAAGGCAGCCAUCUGGCCUAAUACUGACGCUGAGGUACGAAAGCAUGGGGAGCAAACAGGAUUAGAUACCCCCGUAGUCCCUGUCUCUUAUAC